rnacentral:rRNA from 1 species
AACGAACGCUGGCGGCAGGCCUAACACAUGCAAGUCGAGCAAGGACUUCGUUCCUAGCGGCGGACGGGUGAGUAACGCGUGGGAACGUGCCCUUUGCUUCGGAAUAGCCCUGGGAAACUGGGAGUAAUACCGGAUGAGCCCCUUGGGGGAAAGAUUUAUCGGCGAAGGAUCGGCCCGCGUUGGAUUAGGUAGUUGGUGGGGUAAUGGCCUACCAAGCCGACGAUCCAUAGCUGGUUUGAGAGGAUGAUCAGCCACACUGGGACUGAGACACGGCCCAGACUCCUACGGGAGGCAGCAGUGGGGAAUCUUAGACAAUGGGGGAAACCAUGAUCGAGCCAUGCCGCGUGAGCGAUGAAGGCCUUAGAGAAGUAAAGCUCGUUAAGAUGGGAAGAUAAUGACGGUACCAGAAGAAGAAGCCCCGGCUAACUCCGUG